UCAGUGAAUUAAUAUUUUAAUCAUGGUCACUGGCUAGCUGCUUUCUACACUUACUUUUUCAAAGCAGGAAUCACAGAGCUAAAAAAAAAUAAUAUUACAAAAUACCUUUUUUUCCUCUAUAUAAUGCAAGUUCCCCGCUAAAGUCAAUAACUAGAUAAGCUACUUGUGAUUCUUUACUCCAGCUUUGUUCUUACUCUUAUGGUGUAGACUUUACAUCUCUCUUCACUCCACUCUCCUCUAACACUCCGGAAACAAAUACUAUUUUCUACACACACAGAAGCAGUAAAAAUGGAAAGCAUUUAGUCUCUCUUAGAACAAGUUAUUAUGAGCUUGAGAUCCAUUGGGAAGGAAUUCUUUCAGCCAGGUUUCCAAAGGAUGCAGAGUGUUAAAGAUAAAGCUUCUAAAAAUGACUCAAGUGUCAAGCCCCUUAAUGAUGCUGCUUGUACCUCUGCUUCAUCCAAGCAGAAAACAAGUUUCUCAGGUAAUUUCAGUUCCAAGGAUAUCAAUAAUCCUGCUAAAAAUAGUGAAGAUAACAAGCGUAAACAGGCAGAGGAAUCGCUGCGGACUGUGAUGUAUUUGAGUUGUUGGGGUCCUAAUUAACUGCUAUGCAAUCCAAAUCGUGAGAGCAGGCUGGGGUAUUGCAUCGAAGUUAAUGUACAGAGUCUGUAAUGUAAGUGGAGUGUUCAUGAAUAUGUACUGUAUUUAACAUAUAUGCCUAUCUUUUCUUGUUCAUCGUCAUGGGAACUUUAAAGUGAGAAAAUGGCAAGUAAUGAUCAGAUCCUUGAGCACAGAAAAUGGCCUGAAACUCUUAAAAUUGCUAAUGCAUGGUGGUACCUAAAAAAGCAAGAUAGAGACUCCAUGAAAAUUGAUUAUAAGAUAUGCUUUCCCUUGAUCAUGAUGGGAAUUAAGGCCACAGGAUUUGGAGAUAGAUUUGCUUAUGAUUCAUUCAAAACAUCAAUCGAAAUCAACAAUUUGAAGAUAAAUAAAAUUGAAGUUCAAGGACAUAUUCUCUCUAGUAAAGAAAGGCAUCAAACUAUCAUGGAUCACACAAAUAGCCUUUUCAUCUAAAGAAAACACUUGAUAUAUGGAACAUGCUAAGAACAUGUGUGAGAGGUUAAGAAAUCGACACAGAAGAAGCACUGUACCUCUGAGGAUUAGACAACAUGUAUGAACACAUUAAUAAUCUUGUGUUUCAAUAAUUUACUAGAAGGCUCAUUGUUAAGCAACAUACUGAUAUUUACUAUCAUUAUACAUAAAGCUAAAUCCACUGUUUAUAAAAAUAUCAUUGUUUCUCUCGUAUAUGUGAAUUAUAAUAGUGUAAUUUUUAAAAAUUUUGUAUAAUUGAGCUAUUUUGAAAUUAAAUUAAAAUUCAACUACAUGUUAUUAUUAUUAUUAUUAUUAUUUUUGUAAAGAGAGUGUUGAAUCAAAAGGAAAUGGACUAAAGUGAGACAAUCAAGGAAUAUAAGUGGCUGAUUGAAAAUUUAUAGUAAUAUAGGUGGCUGAUUGAAAAUUUAUGUCAACAAUUUAUUUGAGUCCCUUAUCAUUUUUAGUUAUUAGGUGACUAGUCCUUUAAAUUUUAUAAAAUUUAAUUUUAAUAUCAAAUUUUAUUUAACUUAUUUUUCAGUUUUUUGUUAGAUGGAGAAGAGAGAGAAGGUCGUCAAAUUCUGGCUUGGAGAGAAAAGGUGUAUGUUGGUGACAUGUCAAAUUUUUUUCUGAUGCAUGGGCAGAUGAUGAACUUAAAAAAAUAUAGGCCCACAUGGUUGGUCUAGCCUUGUAGGCUCGCGUGCGGUCUGUUGCUUGAUUGGGCCAGGUGCUAAGCCUGACCUACCAUCAACCUGAUAGUUAUUAUUUUAAUUAGUUUGUAAUUAUUUUUUAAUGAUAUUAAGUGUGUUUAGUUUUUAAAGAGGUAUGUAUGACUCAUCUGUAAUUGUUUUUUUUCAUUUUAUAUAGAUUUUUUUAAUAUAGAUUUUUUACAAGA